rnacentral:rRNA from 2 species
GUCUAGUCUGCCCACUGAAUUUAAUUUUUAAUGGCCGCAGUAUUUUGACUGUGCAAAGGUAGCAUAAUCAUUAGUUUUUUAAUUAAAAGCUUGUAUGAAAGGCUGGACGAGGUAGAAUCUGUCUCUAUUUAAAUUAUAGUAGAAUUUAAUUUUUAAGUUAAAAAGCUUAAAUGUUAUUAAAAGACGAGAAGACCCUAUAGAUCUUUAUAAUUUAUUAAAUGAAAUUAAUUUAGAAUUAUUUAUUUUUUAUUUUAAUAAAUUAUUUUAUUGGGGUAAUAGAAAGAUUGAGUUAAUUCUUUUUUGUAAUAAACAUUGAUUUAUGAAUAUUAAAUGAUCCAGUUUUACUGAUUAUAAGAUUAAGUUACCUUAGGGAUAACAGCGUAAUUUUUUUAGAGAGUUCAUAUCGAUAAAAAAGUUUGCGACCUCGAUGUUGGAUUAAAGAUUAUUUUGGGUGUAGAAGCUCAAUAAUUUUGGUCUGUUCGACCAUUAAAUCUUUACAUGAUCUGAGUUCAGACCGGCGUAAGCCAGGUCGGUUUCUAUCUUUAAUAAAAUAAAAUAUUUUAGUACGAAAGGACCAAAUAUUUAAUAUAUUUAUAUUUAAUUUAUUGAAUAUUAUUAAAGUUUUUAUUAUUUUGGCAGAUUAGUGCAAUGAAUUUAGAAUUCAUUUAUGUAAUUUAUUUACAAAUAAUACUUGUUUUAUAUAGAUAUUGUUUUUUCUUUAGUAUGUAUAAUAUUAUUAAUUGUUUGUGUUUUAGUGGGGGUUGCUUUUUUAACUUUAUUGGAACGAAAGGUUUUAGGUUAUAUUCAAAUUCGUAAGGUCCUAAUAAAGUAGGAUUUAUAGG